rnacentral:rRNA from 1 species
GGCCUCUGGGUCACCUCCCCCCGUGUUUAUUAUACCUUGUUGCUUCGGCGGGCCCGCCGUCAGGCCGCCGGGGGGCUUCUGCCCCCGGGCCCGCGCCCGCCGAAGACAUCUCGAACUCUGUCUGAAGAUUGUAGUCUGAGUAUAAAUAUAAAUUAUUUAAAACUUUCAACAACGGAUCUCUUGGUUCCGGCAUCGAUGAAGAACGCAGCGAAAUGCGAUACGUAAUGUGAAUUGCAGAAUUCAGUGAAUCAUCGAGUCUUUGAACGCACAUUGCGCCCUCUGGUAUUCCGGAGGGCAUGCCUGUCCGAGCGUCAUUGCUGCCCUCAAGCACGGCUUGUGUGUUGGGCCCCGUCCUCCGAUCCCGGGGGACGGGCCCGAAAGGCAGCGGCGGCACCGCGUCCGGUCCUCGAGCGUAUGGGGCUUUGUCACCCGCUCUGUAGGCCCGGCCGGCGCUUGCCGAUCAACCAAAUUUUUAUCCAGGUUGACCUCGGAUCAGGUAGGGAUACCCGCUGAACUUAAGCAUAUCAAUAAGCCGGAGGAAAUUAAUU